CAGCGGUCCCGGGACCGCUAGUCUCCCUAGGGAGGCGACACACUCAAUUUGCGGAAAGGCCCUUUCGAGGGCAAUCCGCAGCCAACCUCCUUACCCGGAGAUCGGUUCAGAGACUCGAUGAGUGUGGGUCUGGCCUCCGCCAGAUCUGAGAUAGAGCCCACCCCUGCUGGUAACCUCAGGGAAGCAAGUGGAACCUGCGGAAGGAUCAUUAAAGAAUACACGGCCUCACGGCCCUAUUCUCACCCUUUGUAUACUUAACUUUGUUGCUUUGGCGGAAACGUCAGAGGACCGAAACCCUUGAAUCUCUGCUGUCUGAGUACUAUAUAAUAGUUAAAACUUUCAACAACGGAUCUCUUGGUUCUGGCAUCGAUGAAGAACGCAGCGAAAUGCGAUAAGUAAUGUGAAUUGCAGAAUUCAGUGAAUCAUCGAAUCUUUGAACGCACAUUGCGCCCUCUGGUAGUAUUCCGGAGGGCAUGCCUGUUCGAGCGUCAUUACAACCCUCAAGCUCUGCUUGGUAUUGGGCUCGCCUCCGGGCUUGCCUCAAAGUCAGUGGCGGCACCGUCUGACCUUAAGCGCAGUAAUACUCGCCGCUUGUAGAAUCAGGAGGAUAGCUUGCUAAGAACCCCCAUCAUACAAAGGUUGACCUCGGAUCAGGUAGGGAUACCCGCUGAACUUAAGCAUAUCAAUAAGCGGAGGA
rnacentral:rRNA from 1 species